rnacentral:rRNA from 1 species
UACGUAGGUGGCAAGCGUUGUCCGGAUUUAUUGGGUUUAAAGGGUGCGUAGGCGGUCCCUUAAGUCAGUGGUGAAAUACUCUAGCUCAACUAGAGAGGUGCCAUUGAUACUGAGGGACUUGAGUGAAGUCGAAGUAGGCGGAAUUGACGGUGUAGCGGUGAAAUGCUUAGAUAUCGUCAAGAACACCGAUAGUGAAGACAGCUUACUAGACUUAUACUGACGCUGAGGCACGAAAGUGUGGGGAUCAAACAGG